rnacentral:rRNA from 1 species
ACGUNGGCGGCGUGCCUAAUACAUGCAAGUCGAACGAAGGGCUCAGCGUAGCAAUACGCAGAGUACUCUUAGUGGCGAACGGGUGAGUAACGCGUUGGUGACCUACCCCAAAGAGAGGGAUAACAGUUCGAAAGGACUGCUAAUACCUCAUGUGAUCGUUUGGUUUAGAAGCCUUAUGAUUAAAGGAGCUUGCUCCACUUUGGGAGGGGCCUGCGUACCAUCAGCUAGUUGGUAGGGUAAUGGCCUACCAAGGCUAUGACGGUUAGGGGACCUGAGAGGGUGGCCCCCCACAAUGGAACUGAAACACGGUCCAUACACCUACGGGUGGCAGCAGUAGGGAAUAUUGGUAAUGCGCGAAAGCGCGAACCAGCAACGCCGCGUGUGCGAUGAAUGCCUUCGGGUUGUAAAGCACUUUUCGGGAGGAAGAGGAAGGACUGUACUCCCGGAAUAAGUCUCGGCUAACUACGUGCCAGCAGCCGCGGUAAUACGUAGGAGGCUAACGUUAUCCGGAUUUACUGGGCGUAAAGCGCGUGUAGGCGGUUUGGUAAGUUGGACGUGAAAGCUCCCGGCUCAACUGGGAGAGGUCGUUCAAUACUGCUAGACUAGAGGAUGGUAGAGGGGAGGUGGAAUUCCGGGUGUAGUGGUGAAAUGCGCAGAUAUCCGGAGGAACACCCAGUGGCGAANGCGGCCUCCUGGGCCACUCCUGACGCUCAGACGCGAAAGCUAGGGUAGCAAACGGGAUUAGAGACCCCGGUAGUCCUAGCUGUAAACGAUGUGAACUUGGCGUCGGUGGGAUUAAAUCCAUC